UAACUGCGAGAGGAGAGGGAAAAGCUCAAAUUUAAAAUCUGGCCGUUUCACUGUCCGAGUUGUAAUUUAGAGAAGUGUUACCCGCGCUGGACCGUGUAUAAGUCUCCUGGAAUGGAGCGUCAUAGAGGGUGAGAAUCCCGUCUUUGACACGGACUACCAGGGCAUUGUGGUGCGCUCUCGAAGAGUCGAGUUGUUUGGGAAUGCAGCUCUAAAUGGGUGGUAAAUUCCAUCUAAAGCUAAAUAUUGGCGAGAGACCGAUAGCGAACAAGUACCGUGAGGGAAAGAUGAAAAGAACUUUGGAAAGAGAGUUAAACAGUACGUGAAAUUGCUGAAAGGGAAACGCUUGAAGUCAGUCGCGUUGGCCGGGGAUCAGCCUUGCUUUUGUGAGGUGUACUUCCUGGUUGACGGGUCAGCAUCAGUUUCGACCACUGGAAAAGGACUUGGGGAAUGUGGCACCUCCGGGUGUGUUAUAGCCUYUUGUCGUAUACAGUGGUUGGGACUGAGGAACUCAGCACGCCGCAAGGCCGGGUUUCGACCACGUUCGUGCUUAGGAUGCUGGCAAAAUGGCUUUAAGCGACCCGUCUUGAAACACGGACCAAGGAGUCUAACAUGCUUGCGAGUGUUUGGGUGGAAAACCCGAGCGCGUAAUGAAAGUGAAAGUUGGGAUCUCUGUCGUGGAGAGCACCGACGCCCGGACCUGAUGUUUACUGACGGAUCUGCGGUAGAGCACGUAUGUUGGGACCCGAAAGAUGGUGAACUAUGCCUGAAUAGGGUGAAGCCAGAGGAAACUCUGCUCUCAGCUCGUAC
rnacentral:rRNA from 1 species